GACGAAGGGGGCUAGCGUUGUUCGGAAUUACUGGGUGUAAAGCGCGUGUAGGCGGUUGUUCAAGUCGGGUGUGAAAGCCUUGAGCUCAACUCAAGAAAUGCACUCGAUACUGGAUGACUUGAGGACCGGAGAGGAUAGUGGAAUUCCCAGUGUAGUGGUGAAAUACGUAGAGAUUGGGAAGAACACCAGUGGCGAAGGCGGCUAUCUGGACGGUUUCUGACGCUAAGACGCGAAAGCGUGGGGAGCAAACAGG
rnacentral:rRNA from 1 species